GACGUAGGAGGCAAGCGUUGUCCGGAUUUACUGGGCGUAAAGAGCGUGUAGGCGGCCAAACAGGUCCGUUGUGAAAACUGGAGGCUCAACCUCCAGACGUCGACGGAAACCGUGUGGCUAGAGUCCGGAAGAGGAGAGUGGAAUUCCUGGUGUAGCGGUGAAAUGCGCAGAUAUCAGGAAGAACACCAAUGGCGAAGGCAGCUCUCUGGGACGGUACUGACGCUGAGACGCGAAAGCGUGGGGAGCGAACAGG
rnacentral:rRNA from 1 species